AAAUACGCAUGUCACAUGACCAUUCAUGCACACUGGGCGUGCGCAUACAAGUGUAAACAGGAAGUUGCUUGAUAGUCACCGUCAGGCGCAACAAACCGGCAUUCCAUGUAUCCAUGGCGUUCCAGUUUAUGCCACUUGAAAGGAGCCAGCCUGUCCAAGUCUGUGACCAUGGAGGAGCUGAUGGAGACAGCUAAAGGCAUGACUAACAUGGUGUUGGCUUAUGAGAUCACAAUGAACAGUGACUUCCAAAUCAAACCCACUGAGCCUGCUGAGUGAAGUUUACAGAAAAAUGUUAAGGAAAUUCUGCACAAAGCAUUCUGCGAUGGCCUUAAAGACCAGCUGAACAUGCCAUCAAACUGGUCGGGGAAAUUAAAGAGUUUUGCUCUGGACAUCACAGUCACCUGACUUGUACCCCAUAGAAAAUCUCUGGUGGGAUUUGAAGAAGGCAGUUGCAGCACAGAAACCCAAGAUUAUUACUGAACUGGAGGCCAUUGCUCAUGAGGAAUAGGCUAAGAUUCCUCAGGAGUGCUACCAGAAGCUAUGCAUCUCGUUUGCUGCAGGUCAUAACAGCAAAAGGGUUCUCUACUAAGUACAAAAGAUGCUUGCCAUGAAGGGAUUUGAAUAAUUUUGAUUGUAACUGCACGAUGGAACAGACUCACCUGCAGAUGCUGGAGAUGUUAUAGUGAUGCUCAACAGCUUUCACAGCAAGAUCAUCAAAGUCCGACAUGCAGAUUCAGAAAAAGCCAGAGAAACUCGAUGAAGAUCUUCUGAGUGAAUCGACAGAAAGCGAAGGCCUGUGGGACUCGAUCACAAGUUUAACAGGUGGUUCCAGUGUAGAGGAAGGGGAUACAAAGAAGGAGGAUGUGCUCAACAUCUUUUCAGUGGCAUCUGGACAUCUGUAUGAGUGCUUCUUGAGAAUAAUGAUGCUGUCUGUCCUCCAACACACUAAAACCCCUGUCAAGUUUUGGUUCCUGAAAAACUACCUCUCUCCAUCUUUUAAGGUUAAAGAGGCGUUUCUGGCCACAGGUCCCCAACCCGUCUCACAGCACUAUUGCUAACUGGUCACCUGACUGCCCCAACAAGCUGGACACUCUGAAAGAAAGGAUCCUGGCGGAGGUGAGCGUGGUGGAGGUGGACAUGGAUGACGGAAAGUCCCUGUGCGAUGAGGAUAAAGCAGUGAUGCCGCUCAAGAAGUACUUUUCGGAGGAGCGCAGCGGCAUCGGUGGAUCGUCCGGCAUGUCCACUCUGCGCCAGAGUGUGUCCUGCAAUGAUGAGGCUGACUCGGGCCAAACCACGGCCAGCACUGUGCAGUACUCUGCCGCAGUGAGCAGCGGGUAUAAAGGCCAGACUCCCGGCACUCAAGCGUCGGUGCUCUCUCGUUCCGAAUUGACCCAGCCACUACUGGAAUGUGAGGAAAACCCAGAGCACCUGUCCGAGGCCAGUGGCCACCAAACGAACUCCUACUUCAAAUGACAUAGAGGCAACGAGCAGCUGCACAUUGAUGAAGGAGAGGAGCCUAGCUUUGGCUCUCUGAGCUUUAGUCCAAUAGAGGAGGAGAACUCGCCCACUCUGACCGAGGAUCCUCGAAGUCCUGCCUCCAGUUACAUGCCGUAACAGAGUGGAUACUGGUCGCAGCGAGAGGACAAAAACACUAUCAGUUUUCGUGCAAUCCUGUGCCUUCUUCUGGUGAAUUUUUUAAUAAUUUUUUUAUUUGCCAUGUUUAAAAAUCCAUAUAAGUUUCACACUUACUGCUGCUAAAUUUAAGAAGCUGGUUGUCUCAUGGCUGUGAUUCAGUUUUCAGAUAAAAUUAUAUUGGUGCCAUGUUAAACAUCCGCAUAUCUACUGGCAAUGACGGUUUCAUUUUGUAUAUUGACACUUUUUUGUAAUUUGGAAUUUGAAAACUUGCACGUUGCUUUUGUAAUGUUACACAUGCUAUGGGGUUAAAGCAUAUACAGUACCCUCCAGAAUUAUUGGCUUGCAUGAAAAUGAGCAAAAUAUCUAUAACAUUCAAUAAGUGUUUUUUUUAAACUAAGACAUGCAAGGACAUUGUAUUAUUUUAUAGUUUAUAACUUUUUACCCCCCAAAGAAAAGUCUGUUCCUGUAGUAUCUAGACCUGUAGAGGACCUUGGAUUUUGUUUCUUUUAUCAUAUGUGCUUAUUUAGAAGUCUGUUUGGCUCAUCAUCUUGCUGAAAGAUCAGUCAGCGGCCAUGUCUUAACCUCCCGGCAGAGGCAACCAUGUUUUGGCCUGAAAUGUUCUGAUACUUUAUAAUGCCACCAAUCUUCCCAGCAGUCUCUUAACCACCAGCCACAAAACAGCAUCAAAGCUUCAGUGAUACACCUCCAUAUAUCCCAGCAGAUAUCGGGUGCUUUUCCCUUCUAUGCAAUAUCCUUCUUUCACCAGACAUGCUGAUCAUGCGCAUGAGCAAACCCGUUUGAUCUCCUCUGAUUACAAAACACGAUGCCAGUUGUGGUUUAACGAUGCUUGGUGAAGUUGAGCAGCUGCAUUAUGUCAGAUGCUCUCAGGAGGGGUUUCUUUCUUGCAAAGCUUCCAAACAGGUUUCUCGUAUUUUACAAGAAUCAGCACAACUGUUCAGUUCUCAAACUGAGAUAUUUUAGGAUCUUUUCCUCCAUCUAAUUUUACAGGAGAACAGUGUGUUUAUUGGUCCAGUUCCUGUCACAUUUCAUACCAUUUCAGACAUUAUGGCCAUAACUACCUAUGUACUUUUUCUUUAUGUAGCAACCAUCUGUCUUUUUAUUAUUUUUUUCAUAGUAGUUUCAAGUAUAUUUGAUGUGUACAAAAUGUCAGUGACAAUUAUACGUUGAAAUAGGCUCAGGUACUCUACAGCUGUGCAAUAUGGGAAAGAAAUAUACAUCAGCAGGUAAAGGUUGGAGGAACGAGGAAGUGGGGGGGAUUAUUUACAAAUACAAAAUAAUUGCAAACUAUGCAGAAUAUUUUAUGAUGUAUGGUAUGUAUGCCUAGUAAAGUAAAUGUAAGUAAAGUGCAGAUCCUGUAACUGUAAACACUGGAAUAUCUGCAGUCAGAGUGCAAGAGGUAGGAAAAUAAAUAGCAGCUGUAUGCAGUUGUAGGGUCUGAGCAGUCCUCUAUAGCUUUCGGAGAGCAUAAAAAACAGAUGAAGCAGCAGUACAAAGUAGCAUUUAAAAAUGUACAAUUAAAUUAGAUGUAGUAGUGUGUAAUAAAUAUGAUCAAUAUACCAAUAUACUUUAUUCAGAAUUCUGAUGGCCUGAAGGUAGGAACUGUUCUUCAGCCUGCUGGUUCUGGAUUGGUAAUGGAGGAUGAAGGGAUUUUACAAUCCUAUAAAAUAUACCACCCAGAGAAACAGGGUCAUGGUUAAAGUUUCUCAAGAAUGACAGUUUCUUUGCAUUUAUUUGAAAUAUUCUUUCAGGAUGUCAAUAAUAUUGGCAAAUAUUUUUGAGAGAAAAAAUAUAUUAUUUUAAAAAUGCCGUAAUGACUUUUAUUAUUUGUUUGUAGAACAAAAUAGUUCCUCUUAUUGUCUUAAGUUUUGAAUUGUAUGUAAUAUUUCUUUUCUAUUAUAAGUCCUGCUUUUUUUUAAUGAAGGGUGCCAAUAUUUCUGGAGGGCACUGUAUAAGAACAGGGCUGACCAUUCAAUUGUUAAUACCCAUGCAAAUAUUUACUCUAAAAGAGUAAGAUGAUGAAAUUUAUUUUGAGAAGGCUUUGUGUUCACACAGUUACUGAUUUACCUUUAUUUGGAUUAAAGGAUUUGGAAUUUAUUUUUGGAGUAUAGUAAAGCUUUUUAUUAUUUUUGAAGUUUCUUCAUGUUCUUCCUGCAGCUUAGGUUGAUUUAAUCAUGGUCAGUAUAUGGCUGCGACCCUUAGUUGGUUGUUUUGGAACAUUUCACAUACAUUUGUUGGACAACCGUCAGUACUGACUCCCAGAGAUUUCAGAAGUACUGGCACCCAGUGUGCGUUUCAAGGACAAGUGAAAACUCUGAAGGAUCUAGGACUUUUGCGUGUAUUUCUCAAGUAUUAUUGCACUUGAUAUGAAGCUUCAGCCAGAAUUUUUAGGGUGUCCAUAUUCCACAUGGAUAAACAUUGUGUAUCUGAGUACAUAAAAAAACACCACCACCACUACAUUAAGUUUGAAGUUAGAGAGCAAGAGACCUGUUUAAUGCAUGCUUUUUCUAUUUGCAGUAUCUUGUGAGAAGUCAUCACUGACAUUACACUUUGUAGUAACCGUAUGAGGAAAAAAAGGCUCAUUUAUCAAACUCAAUCUUCCUGCUUUUUGAGUCCAUAAGGGGUUCAGAGAGGAUUACAGAAACACAGCCAGAGGUAACAAGUGUAAUAGAGGCCAUUUGCAACAAAAUACAUGUGGCUAGUACUAAUGAAGAUACAGACAAGGCCUUUUUAUGUAGUACACUGUUAAUAUUUGGGAACAUUGAGGAUAUAUUAGCUAUAUGGUUGGAGUAGUAUAUCACAUCCUGGUUUUGACAAGUUA